UUGGUUUUGCAUUUCUACACUUCCACUUUCCAAUCAAGGGACUAAUUUAUACCUAUAAUGAAUGUCAAUGACCUUUUUCAAUAACUUUGUGGAUCAAUACUUUGCUUUUGCAAAAUUUCAUGUUUCAGUUUCUUUUGGACUCUUCUGCAUUUGUUUUGAUCAUUUUUGUGUUGUUUUAAAGUAUGUUAGUUUGAUGAGGAUGUUAAGAUGUUAGAUUAUUAGGACACUGAGCUGUUCAUGAGCCUGCAUGAUCUAGAGUUUUACUAGGCAGAACUAUGAGAGUUUGGAAUCAUUCCAAAUAAAAAGUGCUUAACACAGGUACCUUGCCUUUGACUUGAAGAAAUAGGAUAGGAUUAUUUGAAAUAGAAAUUGCAAACUGCUUCCUGCUAGAAGAAAUAGGAUUAUCUGAAAUACUUAGGCUUAAAAUGCUUAGGAUUGGUAUUUGAAAUUUAUAAGAGUUAGCUACACUUAUCCACGCAUUGUAGUAACUGAUCCAUGUGUUUGAGUUUCAAGAUGGCUUUGUGAAUAGCAUGGACAAUCACCUGAACGAAAAGACAGUUGGAAAGCAUCUAACCAUGGUUUUGAGGAGAAAUAUGUAUUCCUCUUGACCAAGGUUUUCGGUACUGAUGAAUUUGGAUGUCAUAUCAGAGGCUCAACAGAGGACAUUUUUUAGACUAUAUACUAUCAUGCCCUGAAAACUUCUUUUUCAUAAUUUCAUUUCAUUCAUUUCAAGUAAAGUAGUAGUGCAUGAUGAUGAUAAUGCAGAGUUUGCCAAACAUGCAGAAGAACAUGAAAAGUUAAUCAACAAGUUUUCUUUUUCAUUAUUC